rnacentral:rRNA from 1 species
AGAGUUUGAUCCUGGCUCAGAGCGAACGCUGGCGGCAGGCCUAACACAUGCAAGUCGAACGAAGUCUUCGGACUUAGUGGCGGACGGGUGAGUAACACGUGGGAACGUGCCUUUAGGUUCGGAAUAACUCAGGGAAACUUGUGCUAAUACCGAAUGUGCCCUUCGGGGGAAAGAUUUAUCGCCUUUAGAGCGGCCCGCGUCUGAUUAGCUAGUUGGUGAGGUAAAGGCUCACCAAGGCGACGAUCAGUAGCUGGUCUGAGAGGAUGAUCAGCCACAUUGGGACUGAGACACGGCCCAAACUCCUACGGGAGGCAGCAGUGGAGAAUCUUGCGCAAUGGGCGAAAGCCUGACGCAGCCAUGCCGCGUGAAUGAUGAAGGUCUUAGGAUUGUAAAAUUCUUUCACCGGGGACGAUAAUGACGGUACCCGGAGAAGAAGCCCCGGCUAACUUCGUGCCAGCAGCCGCGGUAAUACGAAGGGGGCUAGCGUUGCUCGGAAUUACUGGGCGUAAAGCGUGCGCAGGCGGUUUCGUAAGACAGACGUGAAAUCCCCGGGCUCAACCUGGGAACUGCGUUUGUGACUGCGAGGCUAGAGUACGGCAGAGGGGGGUAGAAUUCCACGUGUAGCAGUGAAAUGCGUAGAGAUGUGGAGGAAUACCGAUGGCGAAGGCAGCCCCCUGGGUUAGUACUGACGCUCAUGCACGAAAGCGUGGGGAGCAAACAGGAUUAGAUACCCUGGUAGUCC